GACGAACGCUGGCGGCGUGCUUAACACAUGCAAGUCGAACGAAGUGGCGAACGGGUGAGUAAUACGUGAGUAACCUGCCCUCCUUUUUGGGAUAAGCCUUGGAAACGGGGUCUAAUACCGAAUAAAGGGGGAUGGGCUCGCGGCCUAUGAGCGUGUUGGUGGGGGGAUGGCCUACCAAGGCGGUGGCGGGUAGCCGGGCUGGGAGGGUGAACAGCGAACUUAGGACUGAGAUACGGGCCAGACUCCUACCGGAGGGAGGAUUGGGGGAUAUUGGACAAUGGGCGAAAGCCUCAUGCAGCGACGCCGCGUGGGGGAUGAAGGCUUACGGGUUGUAAACAUCUUUCAGGAUCGAACGUGUAGGUGGAGAAGAAGCGCCGGCUAACUACGUGCCAGCAGCCGCGGUAAUAC
rnacentral:rRNA from 1 species